CCCGGAGGUUGAUGCCAGUCUCUGUAGUCACAUAAUAGGAGGCCUGCAGGAAUGUCCUCUGCAGGAUAAGAGCCAGGAAGAGAAGGACUGCCAAGACAUAAACAUUCCUGAGGAAUUCCUCUGAUGAAAGGCAGCAGAGGAAACAAAUGUAUCAAAAUACUCCAAGGAAGACUAUUCCUUUGGUAUUUCCGACCCAGCUGGAAGCAGGAUGUACUGGAAUUCUUACAGGGAAAAAAAAAAAAAAAAAAAGAGAAGGAAAAAGCCUGUCCUACUGAAAUAUCCAGCAUGAUUCUGAGAUUAAGGAUAUGGGCAAUAUAAGAAAGAAAGCAAUCUCCCCAAGAUUCCUUGAAAAAAGAGUUGCUUAAGUGCAUGAAUGGUGAGAUAAAUAUAUUGGAAAACUUCC